AACAACACACACUCACUCUCUACCGCUCGUUUCGAAUUUUCAUAAGGCAAAAAGGCUCACAAAAAUCUCCCUCUAUCUCAGAGUUUUCGCGAAAUUGGUUUGAAGAACUAUUAUAUGAGUGUAUUUGAAGGACGCUUACUGUAGAAGAAGUUAUGGAUUCAGUGAAAGCAGCUGGGUACGAAAAGAAAACAGGAAAAAAUGAAAAAAAGAAAAUGAGGAAAAAGGGAGAAAAAACGAGGAGAAA